rnacentral:lncRNA from 1 species
CACGCACGAGCGGACGCGGCUGCGGCGUGGGGAACGGCCUCGUGCGCCCUGACACGAACGCUGCGGCCCUCCCCGGUUAACGGGGGUUGAUUACGAACGCGUCCGACGGGGAAGGCGGCAAGCGCUCGCUACGAGCUCUCCAGGCACGAGGACACACACUCCUGUUAUGCCACCACGAGAGAUGCAGAUAACAUCCUUUUGUGUAAAAAUCUAUCUUGGGAGCAAUGAGGCAGCACCAUCUCCACAUCACACUGCUCUCCAUCCCACGAUCAUUAAUUCAGGCACGAUCUGGAAGCUGCUCUGCAGCCCCUCCAACAGCAUGCAGGGUCUCUUUGUUGUGUCCAGUGGGUCAGGAAGGAAGGAAAAAAGCCAUGGAGUUACAAGAAUUCCCAAAGGGCAGCAAGUACAAAGAACAAACAGACAUUGUAAAAACACGCAAACAAAAAUACUUCAUUGUUUUAAAUGCAAAAGGCAUUUUCUGUUGUCAGACGCAAGCAAGCUGCAUUGCUUUUACAUACAGAGGCUGUUAGCAACAAACUAGCUGACCCAUGCUUAAAAGCAUUCCAGGGAUACUUACCCCCUUGGGAGACCAGAAAUACCAGAGAAGCCAUUUUCAUACAGCCUGACUGUUCCUGCCAGCACCAGGCUUGAAUUAGGCUUAUGCUUGUCACAGAAUAGAGAAAGAGCCUAACUUUAUCUCAGAGGAACACACAAACCUACCCUGCAGCUUUGAGGCUGACCUUGGCCAUUUAUUGGUACUGUGCUUGGCAUGGUUUCUCAGAUAGUGACAAGAAUGUAAGUGAUAUCUGCAGUGGUAACAUGCAUGUGUGAAGGAAAUGGUUUGGCUGUGCAGAUUUCCAGGAACUUUAAGACUUGCCAAUUGGGCUCAAAUGACACUGAGAAACUACAGUGCAUCAAUGGCAACAGGAUGCACCCUUUUGUGCAACAGAUAGCCAUGAGGGUCACUUGCAUUUUUUGCUCUACAGCCCCAGGCCAUGAGUCUGUUAUUAAAACCUAUUAAGAGCAUGCUUGUCAAUAAAAGCCCAUGAAAGAAUGUCUGCGUUCUAUGC